rnacentral:rRNA from 1 species
UACGGAGGGGGCUAGCGUUGUUCGGAAUUACUGGGCGUAAAGCGCACGUAGGCGGACCAUCAAGUCGGGGGUGAAAUCCCGGGGCUCAACCCCGGAACUGCCUCCGAAACUGCUGGUCUGGAGGUCGAGAGAGGUGAGUGGAAUUCCGAGUGUAGAGGUGAAAUUCGUAGAUAUUCGGUGGAACACCAGUGGCGAAGGCGGCUCACUGGCUCGAACCUGACGCUGAGGUGCGAAAGCGUGGGGAGCAAACAGG